CCCUUAUCAGGGUCACAUCUGGAGAGUUUCUAGUAUUCUACCAGUCUUAACUACGAUAGGAAGAGUCAAGCAGAGGCCUGUCCAUUCCAUUCCUAGUUUGGGCAGUGACUGGCGAGUGAAAGACAAUCUGCCACAUGU